rnacentral:rRNA from 1 species
CAGUAGCCGCGGUAAUACGUAGGGGGCAAGCGUUGUCCGGAAUCAUUGGGCGUAAAGCGCGUGUAGGCGGCUUGUUAAGUCCGCUCUGAAAGCCCGGGGCUCAACCCUGGGAGGCGGGUGGAUACUGAUGAGCUCGAGUCCGGAAGAGGCGAGUGGAAUUCCUGGUGUAGCGGUGAAAUGCGCAGAUAUCAGGAAGAACACCAAUGGCGAAGGCAGCUCGCUGGGACGGUACUGACGCUGAGACGCGAAAGCGUGGGGAGCAAACAGGAUUAGAUACCCCGGUAGUCCCUGUCUCUUAUAC